CUCUAAUUGUAUGAGUCAUCUGGUUGUUGGGGAGAGUGUGUUCUUCAAGUAGCUAAUACAGACAAUAGACAGGGGAAAUGUGUGUGGCAAUGUGGGGAGAAGAUCAUGUAUUAUUAAACUUUUUGAAAGUCAAAGAUCAGCUACCUUUGGAGGUUUGUCAGUAAAGCUAGUGUGGGAAGAAAAUUGUUCUUAGUAAUGCUACCGUGAUUUAAGCGAAGCAGAAUGAAAAAUCAAGUCAUCCAAACACACCUUAGCUGAAGUUAAGAUGAUCACUGUAGUUCUGCAGAACAUGACAUUUCCUUCUUUGCUGGAUUUAUGGUAGACGUGUAGAUGGAUUUGGAAAAGGGAGGGCAGGAUAAGCUUAACAUAUUUAGGCUUAUAUUCAUAGUUUAGCAUUGUUUUGGGAAUUCAAAGGCAACCCUAGUCAGUGUCCCUCCCAUGAAUGAUUUCUUCAUUUUCAGAAGGUUUUUCACUUAGGAUGGUCAUGCUGUCCAAGCACCUGCAAUGAUUUAGCACUUGUUAGGCGCUAGACCCUGGAAUUGCGCUGACUGGGCUUUUAGGGCUUGCAAAGAACAGUUACCUCUGAGUUUACCCCUAGUAAUGGGAGUUCGCUGUGGAAGGAAAGCUGACCGGAAUCUCCACCACUCAGCCACGUGUCUCCGAAAAGCCUUCCGGAAAGGCCACCUAGCCAGGCCUCACGAAAACUGGAUUGAAGUUCAGGAACUGGAAGGUCAUUCAGGAUACAGCUCUGUGGCUGGGUUAUCUUGUUGCCCCCUGAGCAGCAGCCAUCUGCGAUCCCUACUAGCAGGCUUAGCCGCCAAGGAUUUGUGCCAACAGAAGGAACUGUAUUAAUGGUAGCCUCUUGGAAAUUAACAAAGCUCUGUCUACUGUAAGACUCAAGGAUGAAAAAGAUUCAACUCCUGGUCUCCAUGCACUUACCAGCUAUAAGAGGAGGAGGCACGCAUACAAGUCGUCACAGUACGGUGACAAAUGCUCUUGUAUACAUAGGGGUUUCUGUGAUGGCUGUGCAAGAACAAGGAUCUAGGAUCUUCUAACUCCCCAUUCAGUUUGAGGGACUUUGGACUCUGACUCCCUGCACUCAAUCUCAGGAAUGUUGGCAGGAUUAAAAGAGGUCCCAAGAUUUCUGCAGUGGCUUCAUGAUGUCAUUCCAGACCUAAUGUUUGCUCUCUGCAUUCUGCUCUUAUCCAUGUAUUGGCGAUACCUCCUUUCACAGUGCAAGAUGGAUGUCACAAUUCCAAAAGACAUGUCCUCACAUGGUGGUGCCCCAAAUGAGAAGAAAGAGAUGGGGAAAUGGAGAGAAAAGAAAGAAAAAAUGGGCUCCAAGAAGAGCCCUCAAUCAUUUUAUCAGGGAGGAAACUCUCUUCUAGCACACCCCCAGCAGGCUUCUCUUCACAUCUCAUUGCGUUGAACUGGUUCACAUGACCGUCCUCGUCACAUCAUUGGCAAAGUGGAAGAGGGCUGUGCCUGGCAAGUAAACCAACCAUGAGUCAGCCUUUGCAACUGGAUAUAAUGCUUCCUAACAGUGAGGAUUCUGCUAGCAAAGAUGAGUGAGAGCAACUGCUGGGGUCUGCCAUGUGAUUUUCCUUUCCUCUUACCCGUGACUGGCUGGCAUCAGGUUGGGGAACAGCUGAUGAGCUAAUACCCUAAGGACAUAGGGUAGGGAUGAAUCUUCCAGAAGCCAGGCAAGCUGUCUGCAUAGGCGUGGACAAAGACCAUAGUAAUUAGUGGGCGGGGUCCGGCUGUGAGUUGAGACUGCAUGAGGGCAGAAUCUCAACAUGACUUGCACCAACCUGAGAAGGAAGUGGAAGAAGGGAGGAACCCGGUGGUCAUCUCCAUGUGGCUCCUGGAACGUACUAGCGGGAGCCAGCUUAAUGCCCAUAUAUUAUUCUAUUUUAUGAGAAAAUGCUCCACAGUCAUUUUUCUGAGGAAUCAUUUCUUGGUAAAAUCUGGUACUGGAGGUAUCUUUGUAGGUGUGUCUUGUUUUCAGGAAGUUUAGAUUAAAAAUAUGGACUCACAAAACAACAAUUGGGGGUUAGAAAUUUUCAAGUUUAAAAUAUUCUUCAUUGAAUAGAAGAAAAUGCUUUGGUGUCCUUCAAAUGAUUUCACUGAUGGAUUUCACACAUAAUUUGUGUGUAUACACACAGACACACGUAUAUAUCUAUUGCAUUACAUUGAUCUAGGCAGAUCUAGAAAUUGAUUAAUUGAAAAAGCAUGAGUAAAAUAAUCCUUUAGAAUGAGAUGUACACUAAUGUGAGCUAAAUUAAGCAUCUCAGGGUUUCAGGGUACCAAGCAAAUGAUGUUUUCCAAGGAAUUAAAAAUACCUACUCCAAAAAGAAAGCCUCACUGAAAAUAUACACUCUGUUCAGAGGUCAAAUCUCAUUACUGUGCAGAUUCCCACAUUAUCUGGAAAACUGAACCAAAGGACCCUCAGAACUCUAAGAUUCCUUCAUUGUGUGAGUACCAUUUAACUUUGAGGGUUUCUGCUUUGCUUAAAUACUGCGAUUCUGUGGUUAUCAUAGAAAUGUCUUUAUAAUCAAGUUCCAAGCUCAUAGCCCACUAUCCAGACAUUCACCUCUCCAUUCAUCUCUUUGUUCAUAUAUGUGUGUCUGUCUAUCAUGCAUCUAUCUAUCUAUCUAUCAUCUCUCUAUAUAUAUCACUAUCUAUCAUUUGUCUAUCUAUAAUCUAUCUCUCUUAGCUCACAUAUUGUUUCUGCUCUCAUGGAACUUACAACCUUGAAGAGGAGAUCGACAUUAAACAUCUGCUUAUAUGGAUGAAUGUAUAAAUACACCCCAGAUUUGUGCUCUGAAGAAAGGAACAUGGCUCUGUGAAAGGACCAUGCAGGAAGCUGCCACCCUAGACUGGGGCUCAGGGAAGCCUUCUUUGAAGAAGCAAUGCUUGAUCUGAGAACCAGCGUGUGAUUGGGAUUUAGGAGAAAGGAGGUAGAGUGGGACAGAAAGAGCAUUUUUAACAGAGGUACAGUACGUGUUCACCUGUCUGUCCAUCCAUCCAUCCAUCCAUCCAUCCAUCCUGUUUGAUGGUGACAGGACCGUACAAAGUGAUCAUGGAGGUGUAAUCCAGAAGAAGCUCUCUGAUUUCUGAGUCUGUAAGUCCAUUUAGGGAGACAAGAGAAGCAUGUUUUUAAAAAAUACUCAAAAAAUGUUUGGUUAUUUUAAGAAAUCAUAGAUGUGAGGUAAUUUUAAUGCUUACUAUUACUCUUACUGGGAUGGAAUUUGCCUGACUGAACACCCAGACACAGCCCUCCUGGGUAUCAACCCCAUUCUGGCUUUUUUUUUUUUUGCCCAUGGAGAAGGUGUAGAGGACAAGA